rnacentral:lncRNA from 1 species
UUUUUUUUUUUUUUUUUUCUUCUUUUCCUUUUUGGAAUGCUGGCCAUCGGCAAACAAAAACAUGGGGUGUUUCUUUAAAAUCAAAAGAAUGGCUGUUGAAGAAAUGACUAGUAGCGAGUGAGGGCUACUCAGUGGAGAAAUCUGACGGUGACAGGAAGGAAUGAGAUGGAGCAGCAGCUGGACGAGCGCGGAGGGCUUGGGGCAGCAGCUGGAGUGGGCAAGCUGGGGGCUGCCAGGGGAAGGGGCCAGGGUGGGGGGGAGCAUCUACUUCCUUUAAUGCCUAUAUGGCCUUUUUAAAUUAAAAAACUAAUAGUCCUCCUUUGAACAAAUUCAAACAGUCCAGUGUGUGUUUGUGUGUACACUGACAGAACCCUCAGCCCUGCCUCCCGCUCCCGACUGUAAUAGUUCACAGUAGAGCUUUCCAGAGCUCUAGCAUUUUCUAUUAUUUGCCGACCCAUGGCUUUGGAUUAGCGUCAGACGGGCCUUGUUAAAAUACAGGAUGAGAGAAUGGCAAUGGUGAAAUUGCCCAUCUUCCUGAUGGAGAGUUCAAUAAAUUCUAUUGGUCUGGAAAGGAUCCUUCCAGACUUUUUUUUUGUCUGUGUGCAUAUGAAUACUUACAUAUAUAUUCAUUUGUAGCUUUAUGGUUGGUGGUUCUAUUUUUUUUUUUUUUUUAACAAAAGCAAGAGUAUUUUCUACCUAGAGUUGAGCAGGUUCACACUGUAAUGUGUCUUGGAGGAUCACUUCCAAGUCACCACAUAAAGAUGAACCUCAUGAUUAGAACAGCUGCUUAAUAUUCCUAAUAUUCCACAGCUCCUAAUACUCCAUAGUGUAAAUACUUGUGAAUAUAUUCAUUUGUAGCUUUAUGGUGUUUUUUUUUUUUUUUUCUUUUUUAACGAAAGUAGGAGUAUUUUAAGAAUGCCCUUCGUGGCUCAGUGCUGAAUGAAACCGACUAGCAUCCGUGAGGACGUGGGUUCGAUCCUGGGCCUCACUCAGUGGGUUAAGGAUCUGGGUUCAAACCCACGUCCUCAUGGAUGCUAGUCAGGUUUGUUCCCACUGAGCCACAACAGGAACUCCUGUCCUCUUAAGAUGCAGUCCCAUCCAAACUCAGCUAAAUCACACAGCCCUGCAAGCAGGCAGGGUUGCUACUUGAACCUGAGUGCUGACGCCACCGCUGGGGGCCCAGCUUCCUUGGGUGUCCUGUUCUCCCUAGGGAUGGUGGCUAGACAGAGCCCACAUAUCAGAAAUCUGAGGGGAGCCCCAGCAUGGUGCUUCUCUUAAGUGUGGUCCCUGAGUCAACAGGAGCCAAUCAGAAAUGCCGAUUCUCCAGCCUCAGCCCCCCCCCCCCCACUCCUGCAGAAUCACAAGCUCUCACAAGGGGACAUGGAUGUGCACUCACUUGGAGGACUUUUGCUCCAGAAAGUGGAUAGGAACCUGAUGCCCCAUCACUACCAGGUUCACUCUUCCAGGACACCAGAAGGUCUGCCCUGAAGGGGACGGGCUGGCCAACUUCAAAAUCGGUCCUCUGCACAGGGAACUAUAUCCAGUCACUUGUGAUGGAACAUGAUGGAGAAUAACGUGAGAAAAAGAAUGUAUGCAUGUAGGUUUGACUGGGUCACUCUGCUCUACAGUAAAAAUUGACAGAACACUAUAAAUCAACUACAAUGGAACAAAUAAAAAUCAUAAAAAUAAAAAAUAACGUGAAUGAAUGAAUAGAUAAACAAAUAAAUGAUGCAGGUAAAACCUAAAAAAAAAAAAAAAAAAAAAAAAAUCGGUCCUCUUCAGUGCAUUAGAGGCUGUCGGUAAAGACCCCUCCCUUCCUAAGACACCACUUCCCUCUCUCUACCUUCCCUUCUUAAAACAGAACAAAACAAAACAAAACCAAAAAAGCCCUAGAAGAGAACAGGUUCGGCUGGGGGAGGGUGGCAAUGCAAACCUAUAGCUUUCCCUUAACCAUGCCUCCCCCCCCCGCCAGGGUAAAUCGACCGCUCCCCCCAACCCACCCUCUCCCCCAGGGCCGGGGAGGGGGGGGGAACUGCCCUUGGUGGAUGGAGGGCAGUGGAGGUGGGGGAAGGGGGGAAGCAGAGGCAAUGGGAUGUGGCUUCAGGGUGGCUGGGCUGGAGGAGGGAGUCGGAGGAAGAGGAGAAAGGAAAGGAGAGGAAGGCUGUCCUCACUUCACCCAGCUGCUUCUGCCUGCACCUGUUCAGCCGAGGCCCCCGGAGCAAAGACGCCCGUAAAUGAACCGCGGCCCCACCCGGUCUAGAGGGGCCCCUUCCCACACUGCCCUGCGGCCCGGGUUAACUGACAGGAAAACUGUGAAUGGGUUCAGGUGGCUGAAAAGAGGGGCUAGGAAACAGCUGGGCUCCUCUGGGGGGUGGAGCAACUGCCUCCUGCCACCCCCAGGCUCUUAGAGUUUGGGGCUGCUUGGGGAAGGUCUGGACCAGAUCAGGGACCGGCCAACUUCCCUCUGAUUCUGAAGGGGACUCGCUGCAGAGAGGGGCGCUUGAGUAGAAAUAGUCCCUGCCCGCAAUACCCACUACCACCACCAGCUUCCCACCCCCAACACCCCAGCCCCGUUUUUCAGUCCUGCAACAUUCCACAAUAUUCAUAGGUGCUCUAGGGACAAUAACUUUCACUUAAAAAAAGCAAAAAAAGUAAAAAGACUUUAUUUUUAGAACAGUUUUAGAUGCACAGAAAAACCAAGCUGUGAAAAUUGGCAGGAAAUUUAAAAACUUUCCUCUUGGUCUGGCCCCCUGAGAAACACACCAUGGUGGUUCAUCCAUGCAGUCAAUGGGUCUGUCCGUCAAUCAGUUAUUUUUAUAGAUAUCGGAGGAGCGCUUUCAACAGCAAUUCUCAGACUUGUUUAUUAAAGAGGCAGGCUCUGUCUGAGUCUCCCCACCAAAGAUUCUUAUUCAGGAGGUCUGGACUGGGGCCAUGGGUUGGGUAUUUCUGACACUCCCUGCAGGAGAUGUUGGCAUCUUUGGCAUAAAUGGACAGACUGGGCCCCACUCUGAGAAACUCAGGCUUGGUUUAAGGUCCAAGGGGCCAGAGGCUCUGUGGGAAGGGAGGGGGAAAAAAGAAAAAAAAGACCUAAAUCCCAUUCCCCACCCCCACUGGAGAACAGAGGCCCCACAGAACCAAUCGAAGUAAACUGAGGCAGUGGAAGAUGGGUAUUCAGGGGCCCUGACCAUCUCAGAGAGGGAGCCCACUGACCAGAAGGCUCACCAGCACAGAGAUCCCCUCCACAGCAACGAGCAGACUCAAGACUGAGGAGGGAAUAAGCCAGGAAAAUGUCAGAGAAUCAUCUUGUUGGGAGGCCUUGAGCAAGUGAACCUUCUCGUGCCUCUAAUUCCUCAUCUGUAAAAUGGGCUCAUGAUGGUUCCUACUAGAUACAGUUAAAACAGUGUUAUGCGCAGAGAAUUCAGGACACUGCCUGGCACAGAAUAAGCAACAGGCCAUGAAAGUUGUCAUCACCAGGAAAAAGAGGAGCCCCGAUUGGCCGAGGGGAGUGGAGAGGGCCGGAAGGAAGCCUUGAGUCCUCGGGAAAGCGAGUGCCCCCUGAGGACGAUGAGUGAGGUUGCAGCAUUGGGACCACAGGUGAGAACCUGUAGGAUUAGGCUGGAAAAUGAGGUAGGGGAGUGGUACUGGUUGAAUUGUGUUCUCUCAAACAACACACUGCAGUUUCUAACCCCCAGGAUCUCAGAGUGUGACCUUAUUUGGAAAUAGGGUUGUUGCAGAUGUAGUUAAGAUGAAGCCAUAUUGCAGUAGGGUGGCCCUUAAAUCCAGGAUGACUGGUGGCUUUCUAAAAAGAGAAGGAACAGGGCCACAUGUGAAGACAGAGGCAGACUGGGGUGAUGCACCUGCAAGCCAAAGAACAGCGGGAGUAACCAGAAGAUGAAAGUAGAAAGGAAGGCGCCUCUCUUACAGGCUUCAGGGGAGCUCAG